UGCAGGGACCGCCUGGUGCCCCAAGCUCCUUAUGGCCCUAGUGAAUCUCUCAGGGAUGGGUAGCUGACAACCAAGCAAAUCAGAGUCCUCUCUGGAACUUGUCUGGCAAAAUUCUCAAGGAGGAUCCACUCUGUACGUGAAGGAUAUUAUGAGUGUAUUUGUAUAUUUUUAAAUAUGGACUUCGCACUCUAGAGAAGCCUGGAAGAAUGGAGGAAGAGGGGAGUGCUUUACAACUCCAUCCAUCUGUGAUGGUUAAUGACUCAAAGCACAGGCUCUUCGCUGGCCGUGUUUCUACAGCGCCACCAAGCUUGGAGUCCCCAUCUGUGGCUGCAUGGCUCUGUGCACUCAGGGGUGAGCACCCCAGACAGCAUUUGGAUGGAACCUCCCCUCUGUCUGGAACAUCCCAUGAAACAAUUAAAAUAAAAUAAAG
rnacentral:lncRNA from 1 species